rnacentral:rRNA from 1 species
AGGAUGAACGCUGGCGGUCUGCUUAACACAUGCAAGUCGAACGGGCGUAGCAAUACGUUAGUGGCGGACGGGUGAGUAACGCGUGAGAAUCUACCUUCAGGACGGAGACAACAGUUGGAAACGACUGCUAACCCCCGAUGUACUGAAAAGGCAAAUAUUUAUAGCCUGAAGAAGAGCUCGCGUCCGAUUAGCUAGUUGGAGAGGUAAAAGCUCACCAAGGCGACGAUCGGUAGCUGGUCUGAGAGGACGAUCAGCCACACUGGGACUGAGACACGGCCCAGACUCCUACGGGAGGCAGCAGUGGGAAUUUUCCGCAAUGGGCGAAAGCCUGACGGAGCAAGACCGCGUGGGGGAAGAAGGCUCUUGGGUUGUAAACCCCUUUUCUCUGGGAAGAAAGUUGUGAAAGCGGCCUGACGGUACCAGAGGAUCAGCAUCGGCUAACUCCGUGCCAGCAGCCGC